GCGUCGGUGGUUCAGUGGUAGAAUACUCGCCUGCCACGCGGGUGGCCCAGGUUCGAUUCUCGGCCCGCGCA
rnacentral:tRNA from 1 species